CACUCUGUGCGGUGGAUCAUUCGGCUCGUGGGUCGAUGAAGAACGCAGCAAAAUGCGAGACGCGACGUGAAUUGCAGGACUUUGUGAACGUCGGAUCUUCGAACGCACAUUGCGGCUUCGGGCUAACUGGAAGCCACGCCUGGUUGAGGGUCA